GAUUUCUCUCUCUAUUUGUCUGAGAGGCACAAAUGUGCUAAGCUGCUUGUAAACAACGAGGGCCUUUGUUAAAUUGUCGGGUGUUCCUGAGCCUUUGAGGAUUCACCUUUCAGCGUUUAGCUGAGUACAUCGUCUCCAAGACCUUUCACCAAGCAUCCAUCAGCAAGGAGUUCAAGCUAAGCAAGACAUUACCCC